CGAUCUCUCCUCGCCUAAUGUGAUCCCGGAUGAAGUGAUACCGAAUCUCAAUAUGCUUCAUCUUGAAGUGUUGCACCGGGUUGAGAGAGAUCUUGAUGGCACUUUCAUUGUCACACCAAAGAGGCACUUUGUCACAAAUGACACCGUAGUCCUUUAAAGUUUGCCUCAUCCAUAAGAGUUGUGCACAACAACUACCGGCCGCUACAUACUCCGCUUCGGUGGACGAUAGAGACACACAACUUUGCUUUUUAGAAGACCAACUUACCAAAGAGCAACCAAGGAAUUGGCACCCUCCGGAAGUGGACUUCCUAUCCACUUUGUCUCCUGCCCAAUCGGAAUCCGAAUACCCUACAAGCUUGAAGUUUUCUCCCCUUGGGUACCAUAAGCCAAAGUUUGGGGUAUGAGCCAAAUAUCGAAAGAUUCGUUUGACCGCCACAUAGUGACUUUCCUUAGGUGCGGCUUGAAACCAUGCACAAAUUCCCACACUCAACAUGAUAUCCGGUCUAGAUGCACAAAGGUAAAGCAAGGAUCCAAUCAUGGAGCGAUAUACCUUUUGAUCCACCGCUUUACCAUUGGGAUCUAUGUCAAGUUGGCACUUGGUGGGCAUUGGAGUGGAAGCCGGCUUGACGUCACUUAUCUUGAAUCUCUUGAGCAUGUCUUGAGUGUAUUUGGCUUGGUUGAUGAAGGUUCUUUCUCUUCUUUGCUUCACUUCGAACCCUAGAAAGAACUUCAAAUCUCCGAUGGAAGAUAUCUCGAACUUUGAGGUCAUGAGAGCGGCAAAUUCCUCAUUGAAAGCUUUGUUAGGGGAACCAAAGAUAAUAUCAUCAACAUAUAAUUGGCACACAAACAACUCCACUUUGACCUUCUUAGUAAAAAGAGUGGGGUCGAUUAGCCCAACUUCAAAACCACGGUCUUGUAACAACUCGGUAAGGUGGUCAUAUCACGCACGUGGGGCUUGUUUAAGGCCAUAGAGUGCCUUAUUGAGUUGAUACACAUGAUCGGGAAAGUAGGGAUCCUCGAACCCGGGGGGUUGCUUGACAUAAAUCAAUUCAUUAAUAGGACCAUUAAGAAAAGCACUCUUCACAUCCAUUUGUUGUAACUAAAAGUUAUGAUGAGAAGUAUAUGCAAUCAACAUGCGAAUGGAUUCAAGAUGAGCAACGGGAGCAAAGGUUUCACCGUAGUCGAUACCCUCAACUUGGGAGUAGCCUUGUGCUACCAAACGAGCCUUGUUGCGAAUGAUAAUCCCAUGGGCAUCUUGCUUGUUCUUAAAUAUCAACUUGGUUACAAUGACAUUGUGGUUCCCCGUCGGUCUUGGCACCAAUCUCCACACUUUGUUGCGCUCGAAAUUGUUGGGUUCUUCAUGCAUGGUAUUGAGCCAAUCCGGAUCUUCGAGCGCCUCAUAGACCUUGUGGGGUUCGACACAAGAGACAAACGCGUGAUGCUCACAAUAGUUUGCUAACUGUCUAUGAGUGCUUACCCCCUUUCUUAAGCUUCCAAGCACAUUCGUCAUGAGAUGAUCCUUGGUGGAGAGCUUGGAAGCAACCUUGGCGGCACGACGCUCCAAUUCCUCCUCGGGGGUGAGACGAGAAGUGGUCACUUGAUCAUCUUGAGCGUCGUCUUGAGCUUGUUCUUGUUCUUGAACUUGCUCGGAGGAGAGAACUUGACCUUGGGCAUCAUUUGGUGUGUCAACACCGUCUUGAGCAUGAUCUUGCCCUUGGUCUUCUUCUCGAGGAUGAGGGCCUUCAUGUUGUUCUUCGGAAGCGUGUGGGCCUUGGGUUGGUGAUGGCUCCACUUAAGUGGAGCAUUGUCCUUCUCCUUCGGCCACAAGGGGUUCCUCAAUGGGUAGGAUAAAGACAACACCCAUUCUUCUUAUGGUUUGAGGAGGAAUUUCAUCACCUACAUCACAAGUGCCACUUUGCUCCACUUGGGAGCCGUUAUUUUCAUCAAACUCCAUGUUACAUGUCUCCUCAAUAAGUCCCAUGGAUUUAUUAAGGACACGGUAAGCAUGAGAGUUUGUAGCAUAACCAACAAAUAUGCCCUCAUAAGCUCUAACUUCAAAUUUAGACAACCGAACACCUUUCUUGAGAAUGAAACACUUACACCUGAACACCCGAAAGUACUUGAGGUUGGGCUUGUUACCGGUGAGUAUCUCAUAUGGAGUCUUGUUCAAGCCCUUGUGGAGGUAGAGACGAUUGGAUGCAUGACACGCGGUGUUGAUGGCUUCGGCCCAAAAGUUGUAUGGAGACUUGAACUCCGCCAUCAUGGUCCUUGCCGCAUCCAUCAAUGUCCGGUUCUUCCUCUCCGCAACACCGUUUUGUUGAGGGGUGUAAGGUGCGGAAUAUUGAUGCUUGAUCCCCUCAUCACUAAGAAACUCAUCCAAGGUGUAGUUCUUGAACUCGGUGCCGUUGUCACUUCUUAUUUUCAAGAUCUUUGCAUUGUGUUGGUGGUGUGCUUCAUUUGCAAAGUCAAUGACGGUUUGUUGGGUCUCGCUCUUCCUCUUGAAUAAAUACACCCAAGUGUAUCUUGAGUAGUCAUCCACAAUCACCAAGCAAAACUUCCUACCCCCAAGACUAUCGAAGGAUGGAGGCCCAAAGAGAUCCAAGUGAAGGAGCUCCAAAUGUCUCUUUGAGUAAAUGAUAGUCGUGGGAGGGUGAGUCUUCUCAUGUAGCUUUCCUUCAAUACAAGCACUGCAAGCACGAUCUUUAGCAAAACUAACAUUCGUUAGUCCACGGACAUGGUCCCCCUUGAGAAGACUUUGCAAAUAUUUCAUAUUGACAUGGGCUAGACGGCGAUACCAAAGACACCCCACAUCAACUUUAGCCAUUAGGCAUGUCGCGGUCUUAGUGGGUCGCUCCGAAAAGUUAAUCACAUAUAGACCGUUCUCGACAUGCCCAACAAAGGCUACUUUAAGAGUCUUGCUCCACAAGAGGGCCACGGUAUCGAUAUCAAAGAAAGUGGCAAAGCCCAUGAUUGCAAGUUGACGAACGGAAAGUAAAUUGUAUGCAAGGGACUCAACAAGCAUGACCUUCUCGAUCGUGAGAUCAUGAGAGAUGACUACCUUGCCAAGUCCCAAUACCUUAGAAGACGAGGCGUCACCCCACUCGACAUUGGUGGGCAUAGAUGGAAUCUUGUGCACGUCCACCACCAAGUCCUUGCUUCCGGUCAUAUGAUUUGUAGCUCCGCUAUCGAGCAACCAUGAUCCCCCACCGGAAGCAAACACCUACAAGAUCAAUGCUUGGUUUUAGGUACCCAUUUUGUAAUGGGUCCUUUGAUGUUAGUAACAAGGGUCUUUGGAACCCAAAUAGACCAUUCAAUGUACUCAUGAGGAGAACCAACGAAUUUGGCAUAGACAUGCCCAUCACUAGCACGACAUAAUAUAUAAGAUGGAUUAAAGUCGUCGGCUUUGAUGGAAGGGGUGGCAUUGCCCUUUUUGACACCGCCACCCUUCGCAUUAUUCUUCUUCUCCUUGGAAGCACUCUCUCCCUCCUUCACAAAGGUUUGCAUGAGAGGAGGAGGUCUUUUGGUCUUGUCAUUCUUCUUCUUGUUCUUGGACUCGGGCACGUACCCAACCCCUUCCUUGGUCACCACUCCCUUUUGGUUGGUCAAGAGGUCGUUGAGGUUCUUCUUGCCUUGUAUGCAAGUCGCACGACCUUUCUCAAGUUGCACCUUUAGCUUAGCGUUCUCCUCAACAAGAUGCACAUGCUCACAACACGGGUUAGUAGAAUUUUCAUUAUCAAUUAACAUCAUACGAGGAAAAGUGGCUUUUUCCUUGGUUAGCUUUACUUGAAGUUGGUCAUGAGACUCUUUGAGGCUAGCAUGAGCACCCUUCAAGACCUUGUGAGCCUUGUCAAGUAUAUCAAACUCCUCUUUGAGUCUAGCAAGAUCAACCUCAAGUUCGGCCUUCUCGGAGUUUAGCACACGAGAAACAAUGAGAACAUGAUCAAAAUCUUUCUUUAACUUAGCAUGAUCAACGUUGUGUGACUCCUCAAGAGCCAAAUGAAGACCACGCUCUUCCUCAAGAGCAUUAGAAAGAUCCGAGAUCUCAUCGGCAUAGUCACGACUAUGCCCUUCCGUCUUAGAGAUGGUAUCUUCGUGAGCCUCGAUCAUGUCAUUGGCUUCACCAAGUUGUUCCAAGAGAGCAACAAAGUGCUUAUUGGAUUUACCCUUAAGUUUGCCCAUAAAGGCAUCAAACUCAUUCACUUCCACAUUAGCUCCCUCAUGUUCAUCAAUGCUAUCCGUCGAAGAAGGAUGAUUAAUGAUGGUAGUUUUGAUGUUGGAGGUUACCUUGUUGGUGGCUUUAGCCAUGAGGCACUUGGCGGUGAUGCUCUCAUUGGGUGAGUCUAAGAGAGACACCCGUGGAGUCGUCGCAAUGGCAACUGAGGCCAUGGCAACCGACUCACCAUCUUCAUCAUCAUCAUCAUCCUUAUUGUACUCUUCUUGUACCACCAAUGCCUUGGGAGGAGUCUUCUUGGUGAAGUUGCUCUUGUUGGGGAACGACUUGGCCUUGUCCUUUCGGAUGAGCUUGCCACCAUUGUCUUCCCUCUUCUCAUACGGGCACUCCGCAACAAAAUGACUCACAUUGCCACAAUUGUAGCAAGUCCUUACACGUUGCUUGCUCUUCGUGCCACUUGAGCUGUUUUUGUUAAAGUUUGGCCUUGAGUUUUUCUUGCUCCAAAAUUGCCUUGAAGCAAGUGCCAUGUGUUCAUGAUAUGCAUACUUUGUAUCUUCGGGGUUGCUCUCCUCUUCUUCCUCUUCUUCUUCUUCAACGCAAAGCUUGGCCUUCAAAGCAAGGUUGGGCUUCUUUGCCCUUUGAGAAUGAAGCACCGCAUUGUCGGUGGUCUUGUCCAAAAUGUUCAUGGCCACAAACUCAUCCAACACUUCGCUUGAGGUCAAAGUGUGGAAGUCCGGCCUUUGACGAAUGACGGAGGACAUGGCCUUGUGGUAGGGCAUCAUUGCCUUGAGGAAUUUGCGCUUGAUCCAAUUGUCAUCCAUGUCCUUGCUCCCGUGAUCUCGGAGUGAGACCGCGAGUUUGGUUACUCUCCGAUAAAGCUUACGAGGUUCUUCAUCUUCUUUCAUUGCAAACUCAUCGGCCUCAUCUUGCACCACUUCAUAGUUGGAGCGUUGAAUGCUUGCGCUUCCCCGAUAGAGUGAGACAACACAAAGUCAUGUGUCUUUGGCCAAGGCGAAGGGCCGAAGAUGAGGUAGAUCUUCGGAUGGAAUUGCAUCUUGAAUGAUGAAUAAAGCAUUCUCAUUGAAUUGAUUAUCCAUGGCUUCUCGAGGAGUGAAGUUGCUUGGAUCAUGCGGAUAGAAACCGUCUUCAAUGAUUCUCCAAAGAUUAGUGUUCACAUGAUUUAAAUGACGUUUAAAGCGGUAAACCCAAGAAUCAAAGUCCUCAUUUUUCACAAUCUUAGGGGGAGGACCGGCAUGAUUCAAAUGAGUGGAAGGAACCGGUCCACCAUAAACAAGUGGUGGUUCCACAUGAGCAAAGAUGCCAGUGCCAUUCUUACCACUAGAAGAAGGGGCCUUUUCACUACUAGCUUCCCCUUAUCGGAGGUAGCAUCCGUCACCUUGUCGGUGGGAUUACCCACUUUCAACGGUGCGGUGGAUAGUUUAAGCCCUUCAAGAAAUUUAGUAAACAUGCUUUCAACCUCGGUCGUCAUGGAGGUUUUCAAUGUCUCCAAGGCCACAUUGAACUCCUCACGAGAGACCGAGGUUCCCCCAUCACCCGUAGACGAGAUCGGAUUCACACCGGAGUGUUCCUCCACACCGUUUACGGUAUCAACCAUACUCUUCGAACGAUAAAGUCCUUAAUAAAGAGACGAGGCUCUGAUACCAAUUGAAAGGAUCAAUAUGGUUGACUAGAGGGGGGGGGGUGAAUAGGCAACUAACAAUUUUUAACUUUUCUUUACCAAAUUAAACUUUGCAUCAAAGUAGGUUGUCUAGAUGUGCAACUAGGUGAGCAACCUAUAUGAUGCAAUAACAACAAACAAACAAGCGAGCAAGAGAAGUAACACUAAAGAGCUUGCACAAGUAAAGGUAAGAAAUAACCAAGAGUGGAUCCGGUGAAGACGAGGAUGUGUUACCGAAGUUCCUUCCUUUUGAGGGGAAGUACGUCUCCGUUAGAGCGGUGUGGAGGCACAAUGCUCCCCAAGAAGCCACUAGGGCCACCGUAUUCUCCUCACGCCCUCACACAAUGCGAGAUGCCAUGAUUCCACUAUUGGUGCCCUUGAAGGCGGCGACCGGACCUUUACAAACAAGGUUGGGGCAAUCUCCACAACUUAAUCGAAGGCUCCCAACAAUACCAUGAAGCUUCACCACAAUGGACUGUGGCUCCGUGGUGACCUCAACCGUCUAGGGUGCUCAAACACCCAAGAGUAACAAGAUCCGCUAGGGAUAGGUGGGGGAAUCGAAAAUCUCUUGGUGGAAGUGUAGAUCGGGGCCUUCUCAACCACUCCCGAGCAAAUCAACAAGUUUGAUUGGCUAGAGAGAUAGAUCGGGCAAAAAUGGAGCUUGAAGCAUUAAUGGAGCUUGAGAGGGAAGAGGUAGGUCAAGGGGAAGAAGGGGACCCCCUUUUAUAGUGGGGGCAACAAUCCAACCAUUGCCCCACUAAACAGCCCCGCAGAGGGCGGUAGUACCGCUUGGGGGGCGGUACUAUCGCUGAGCCAGCGGUACUGCCGUUCCAACUAGCGGUACUGUCGCGCAAAGGAGAGAAGCAGGGACCUGGACACAAAGAGGUACUACCGCGGAGGUAGGGGCGGUACUACCGCUGAGAAGCGGUACUACCGUUCCAACUAGCGGUACUGCCGCGCAAAGGAGAGAAGCAGGGACCUGGACCCAGAGCGGUACUACCAUGGUGGUAGGGGCGGUACUACCGCUUAUAAGCGGUACUACCGCCUCUACUGCCGCAACUAGUGCCGCAAAACCCGACACGAGAAAAAGAGCCCUCGAGUCGAGGCGGUAGGAACAUGGCAAGCCAGCGGUAGUACAGCUGCGGAGUCACCGGCGGUACUACCACUGCGGAGUGGUACUGCCGCUUGUGACCCCUCAGCGGUACUACUGCAGGGUAGCACGGUACUACCACUGGGACCCAAACAAGACACAUAAGUAAAGAAAAGAUCUCUCCAUUGAAGCGGAAGAGCUCUGAGGGUGAGAAGCGGAAGUGUACGUGUUGAUUCCACCCAAGUAGUACCACAGCAGACCCCCUCUUAAUAGUACGAUGCCCUCUACACAACUAGACCACCGAAAGAGCUACACUGUCUUGAAUGACACUCCGAGGGGAGGAAAUCGUCUCGUGCUAAGGAUGAAUCUCUAAAACGCUCAAAGCACACGAUUAGUUCGCAAACACGUUGUCAUCAAUCACCAAAACCACAUCGAGAGAGAUAUGCCUCAACAACCACUGUCAAGGGAUCUAAGUGUCAAGUUUGUGUGCAAGCUAAGCAACCUCGUAAGUCUUGCACGACUGCGGAAACGAGAAAUCUUGCACCACUAGAGCUCAUACAUUCAGAUCUAUGUGAAAUGAAUGGUGUUUUGACAAAAGGUGGAAAGAAAUAUUUCACCACAUUAAUUGACGACUCCACUAGAUAUUGCCGUGUGUAUCUUCUGAAAUCUAAGGAUGAGGCUUUGAACUUUUUCAAGAUCUAUAAAGCUGAAGUGGAAAACCAACUUGAUCGAAAAAUCAAAAGGCUUAGGUCCAAUCGUGGUGGAGAGGAUUUUUCCAAUGAAUUUGAUGCUUUUUGUGCGGAAUAUGGUGUAAUCCAUGAGAGAACGCCUCCUUACUUACCUCAGUCAAAUGGGGUGGCCGAAAGAAAGAACCGUACUCUAACUAAUUUGGUUAAAGCCAUGUUAGACACAUCGGGUCUCUCCAAGGCAUGGUGGGGGGAGGCGAUAUUGACAGCAUGUCAUGUCCUAAACCGAGUCCCCACAAAGAACAAAGAGAUAACUCCAUUCGAGGAAUGGGCGAAGAAAAGGUUAAAGCUCUCUUAUCUACGAACCUGGGGUUGUUUGGCGAAAGUCAAUGUGCCAAUUCCAAAGAAGCGCAAAUUUGGACCAAAGACCGUGGAUUGUGUUUUCGUGGGAUAUGCUUUUCAUAGCAUUGGUUAUAGAUUCUUGGUUGUAAAAUCUGAGGUACCCGACAUGCAUGUCGGUACGAUCAUGGAGUCGAAUGAUGCGACUUUCUUUGAAGAUAUCUUUCCCAUGAAGGAUAUGGCUACCUCAUCUAAUCAGGAGAUGCCUAGUUCAUCGAAUCAGGAACCAGUUACAAUUACUGAACCUGCCAUUUCAAUGGAACACUUUGAAAAUCCUGUGGAGGAGAAUAAUGAAGUUCCUACUAAGAGCAAGAGACAGAGGACUGCAAAGUCCUUUGGUGAUGAUUUUCUUGUGUAUCUCAUAGAUAACACUCCCAGUUCUAUUUCAGAGGCCUAUGCAUCUGAAGAUGCUGACUACUGGAAGGAAGCGGUUUGUAGCGGAUGGAUUCCAUCUUGGCGAAUGAAACUUGGGAGAUAACUGAUCGUCCUUAUGGGUGCAAACCUAUAGGAUGCAAAUGGGUAUUCAAGAAAAAGCUUAGUCCUGAUGGUACUAUUGAAAAGUACAAGGCGCGGCUCGUGGCUAAGGGUUAUACCCAAAAGGAAGGUGAAGAUUUUUUUAUACUUACUCACCUGUAGCUCGACUGACCACUAUUCGAGUUCUACUUUCACUAGCUGCCUGACAUGGUCUUCUCGUUCAUCAAAUGGAUGUUAAGACUGCUUUCUAAAUGGAGAGUUGGACGAGGAAAUUUAUAUGGAACAACCAGACGAGUUUGUACUAGAUGGCCAGGAAGGAAAAGUGUGAAAGUUGCUGAAGUCUUUGUAUGGACUCAAGCAAGCACCUAAACAGUGGCAUGAGAAGUUUGAAAGAACUUUAACAGCUGCAGGCUUUGUUGUAAACGAAGCUGACAAAUGUGUGUACUAUCGUCAUGGUGGGGGCGAGGGAGUCAUCCUUUGCUUGUAUGUUGACGACAUACUGAUUUUCAGAACAAAUAUGAAUGUUAUUAAGGAGGUCAAGGACUUUCUAUCUCGCUGUUUUGAGAUGAAAGAUUUAGGAGUGGUUGAUGUCAUUCUAAACAUCAAGUUGUUGAGAGACGAUGAUGAUGGGAUCACAUUGCUUCAAUCUCACUAUAUGGAAAAGAUCUUGAGUCGCUUUGGGUACAGUGACUGCAAGUCCUCUCCAACAUCAUAUGAUGCUAGUGUGUUGCUUCGAAAGAAUCAAAGAAUUGCUAGAGACCAAUUGAAGUAUUCUCAGAUUAUUGGCUCGCUUAUGUACUUAGCCAGUGCUACAAGACCUGACAUCUCUUUUGCUGUUAGCAAACUGAGUCGGGUUUUUUCAAAACCAAGAGAUGUGCAUUGGAAAGCUCUAGAGAGAGUUUUGCGUUAUUUGAAAGGCACUGCGAGUUAUGGAAUUCACUACACUGGGCACCCAAAGGUGCUUGAAGGGUAUAGUGACUCAAACUGGAUCUCAGAUGCUGAUGAGAUAAAGUCCACGAGCGGUUAUGUAUUCACUCAUGGAGGUGGCACUGUUUCUUGGAAGUCUUGCAAGCAGACCAUCUUAACGAGGUCAACAAUGGAAGCAUAACUCACAGCACUAGAUACAGCUACGGUCGAAGCAGAUUGGCUUCGUCGGCUCUUGAAUGACUUUCCGGUUGUUGAGAAACCUGUAGCGGGUAUUCUCAUGAACUGCGACAAUCAAACUAUGAUCACGAAAGUGAGCAGCUCAAAGAAUAACAUGAAGUCAUCAAGACACAUUCAGAGAAGGUUAAAGUCUGUCAGGAAAAUGAAAAACUCCGGAGUUAUUGCAUUGGAUUAUAUCCAAACGGCUAAAAAUCUGGCAGAUCCUUUUACUAAGGUUCUAUCACGUAAUGUGAUAGAUAAUGCAUCGAGGGAGAUGGGUAUGAGACCCACAUAUGAGUUGUUCAUAGUGGUAACCUAUUCUUUGUGAUCGGAGAUCCUAUGAAUUAGAUGUGGAAGACAAGCUGUUGGUCAACUGAGAGGACAGUAUCCUUACUAUUAACAAUACCACUCCUUGAAGAUGCAAUACUCUUCUAAUCUGCAUGGCAGGUUGAUGUAUAUCUUAAUGUGUUUUAAGUGGCUCUUUUAAGCAGAGAUGUUGUCUUGCAGAACAUCUUUUGAAGAACACACCUAUAUGAGUCUGAUUGUUAAAUAUCGCAAUCUAUGAGAGUAGGGUUCUCUCUAGUAAACUCAUGAAAGGUCUCAGAGUAUGACACAUAAGCUCCACCCGCGGGGAAGACCCACGGUAGCUACGUAUCGGUCAAGGCUUUAUGUGAAGCUAGAUUCGCAGAAAACUUGCAGUUCAAGGCCCAGUCCACUGUUCAAGUUGCUUACUAGUGUAGCAUAGAGUUCUAAGUGGAAGUUCAACUUAACACUCUCCACUGCAAUAUCGGUAUAUAAAAAAGUGUUUUGAAACCAAAGGCAAAUUUUGUGUGCCUCUGGGAUCUGGUGGGGGAUUGCUGGAAUUUUGUCUAUUUUGGGCCUAGCCAACAGCAGUUUCAGAAAUUCCUAAUAAAUCCUAGAGGCCCAUGCAGCCCAUUCGUGCAAGGCAAGAGGUGGAACAAAGUUUAGUCCCACAUUGCUAGUUUAGAGGGUGUUGUACCUCUUUAUAAGGGAGGCUUUUUCUCCACAUGUAUGAGGAUGAGAACAAGAGGGACAUUCACGCGCGCUCCUCCUCCGCCGCGCGCCUCGCCACGCCACGCCUCGCCUCGCCUCGCCUUCUCCUGUGCCUAUAAAAGGGAGGUCGCUCCUCCCAGAGAGACACACCAGAACGACACAACCCUCUCGCCUCCGGAACCACACCUUUUGAGUCCUGUACGGGAGAAGGGUGAUAAGGUUUUUGGGGAGUGCUCCGCGCGACUACUGGCUUCUUCAUCACGGACUCCGACGACUUCUUCCCCGACGUCGACAACCUCAUCAACAACAUGGCUGGAGAGGAUGUCGACCCCAAGUCCAGUGCUUCUGCUGCUGUUGUGUCGUAUGUGUUCUUGCUCUUUCUGUUAGAUGUCCUGCCACAGUUCUUUGCUCUAGUUUCUGCCCUACAUAUGUUAGGUUCUACUUCAUAUAUGCAACUUCAUCUAGUGUCUGUUCUACAUGUGUUUAGUUCAAGUUCAUAUAUGCAGAUACUAUUUACGUUCUCUCUAUCAGAUUACAUGACUUGCUUUAUCUCUGCUAUAUUAGUCAUGCUUUAUCUAUUAUUUCUGUUAGCAAAGUUAUUUGGUAAAUUGAUCAUAUUUCCAACAUUUAGUGCGCUGGGACCAACAUUGCUUUAGCAAACGCCCAAAGACGCGCGCCCAAAAAGCAGACAGUGCAAAUUGUGAAGCGCGCGUAAUUCGAAACUCAAAAUAUGCUGUGCGCGAUAGCGUUUUUCAGCGCGCGCCCAAAACUUUUUAGCGCUACAGCAUCUGCUAGAGCUGUUGGGCGCCCAAAAAAACUAUUUUUUAAUGCGUGGAGCUCUUUUUGGGCGCCUGUUGGAGAUGCUCUAAAAGAAAACCGAGUUAUACUAGACACAAUAAGCUAUACCUUAUUACAUUUUUGCAAUAGAAUAAAUUUUUUUUAGAACAUAGACGUCAGAGACGUCCGGCUUUAAAUUAAUAAAGCCCCCAAACUUAGGCAGAGUAGCACAACCACCGACCGAAACUGUUGGGUUACGUAGUAAUUUCAAAAAAUUUCCUACGCACACGCAAGAUCAUGUGAUGCAUAGCAACGAGGGGAGAGUAUUGUCUACGUACCCAACGCAGACCGACUGCGGAAGCGAUGACACGACGUAGAGGAAGUAGUCGUACGUCUUCUCGAUCCAACCGAUCAAGCACCGAAACUACGGUACCUCCGAGUUCGAGCACACGUUCAACUCGAUGACGAUCCCCGGACUCCGAUCCAGCAAAGUGUCGGGGAAGAGUUUCGUCAGCACGACGGCGUGGUGACGAUCUUGAUGAACUACAGCAGCAGGGCUUCGCCUAAACUCCGCUACAGUAUUAUCGAGGAAUAUGGUGGCAGGGGGCACCGCACACGGCUAAGGAAUUGAUCACGUGGAUCAACUUGUGUCAACUUGUGUGUUUAGAGGUGCCCCUGCCUCCGUAUAUAAAGGAGGAGAGGAGGGGAGGCUGGCCGGCCAAGGGGGGGAGGCGCAGGAGAGUCCUACUCCCUCUGGGAGUAGGAUUCCCCCUCCAAUCCUAGCCCAACUAGGAUUCCUCGGAGGGGAAAAGAGGAGGAGGGGGCCGGCCACCUCUCCUAGUCCUAAUAGGACUAGGGAAAGGGGGGGGGGUGCGCAGCCCAACUAGGGCAGCCCCUUCUCUUUUCCACUAAGGCCUACUAUGGCCCAAAUAGCUCCCGGGGGGUUCCGGUAACCCUCCCGGUAUUCCGGUAAAAUCCCGAUUUCACCCGGAACACUUCCGAUAUCCAAAUAUAGGCUUCCAAUAUAUCAAUCUUUACGUCUCGACCAUUUCGAGACUCCUCGUCAUGUCCGUGAUCACAUCCGGGACUCCGAACAACCUUCGGUACAUCAAAAUGCAUAAACUCAUAAUAUAACUGUCAUCGUAACCUUAAGCGUGCGGACCCUACGGGUUCGAGAACAAUGUAGACAUGACCGAGACACGUCUCCGGUCAAUAACCAAUAGCGGGACCUGGAUGCCCAUAUUGGCUCCUACAUAUUCUACGAAGAUCUUUAUCGGUCAGACCGCAUAACAACAUACGUUGUUCCCUUUGUCAUCGGUAUGUUACUUGCCCGAGAUUCGAUCGUCGGUAUCCAAUACCUAGUUCAAUCUCGUUACUGGCAAGUCUCUUUACUCGUUCCGUAAUACAUCAUUUCAGAACUAACAUAUUAGUUGUAAUGCUUGCAAGGCUUAUGUGAUGUGUAUUACCGAGAGGGCCCAGAGAUACCUCUCCGACAAUCGGAGUGACAAAUCCUAAUCUCGAAAUACGCCAACCCAACAUCGACCAUUGGAGACACCUGUAGUACUCCUUUAUAAUCACCCAGUUACGUUGUGACGUUUGGUAGUACCCAAAGUGUUCCUCCGGUAAACGGGAGUUGCAUAAUCUCAUAGUCAUAGGAACAUGUAUAAGUCAUGAAGAAAGCAAUAGCAACAUACUAAACGAUCGGGUGCUAAGCUAAUGGAAUGGGUCAUGUCAAUCAGAUCAUUCUACUAAUGAUGUGACCUUGUUAAUCAAAUAACAACUCAUUGUUCAUGGUUAGGAAACAUAACCAUCUUUGAUUAACGAGCUAGUCAAGUAGAGGCAUACUAGUGACACUUUGUUUGUCUAUGUAUUCACACAUGUAUUAUGUUUCCGGUAAAUACAAUUCUAGCAUGAAUAAUAAACAUUUAUCAUGAUUAUAAGGAAAUAAAUAAUAACUUUAUUAUUGCCUCUAGGGCAUAUUUCCUUCAGUCUCCCACUUGCACUAGAGUCAAUAAUCUAGAUUACACUGUAAUGAUUCUAACACCCAUGGAGCUUUGGUGCUGAUCAUGUUUUGCUCGUGGAAGAGGCUUAGUCAAUGGGUCUGCAACAUUCAGAUCCGUAUGUAUCUUGCAAAUCUCUAUGUCUCCCACCUGGACUAGAUCCCGGAUGGAGUUGAAGUGUCUCUUGAUGUGUUUGGUCCUUUUGUGAAAUCUGGAUUCCUUUGCCAAGGCAAUUGCACCAUUAUUGUCACAAAAGUUUUUCAUUGGACCCGAUGCACUAGGUAUGACACCUAGAUCGGAUAUGAACUCCUUCAUCCAGACUCCUUCAUUUGCUGCUUCCGAAGCAGCUAUGUAUUCCGCUUCACAUGUAGAUCCCGCUACGACGCUUUGUUUAGAACUGCACCAACUGACAGCUCCACCGUUUAAUGUAAACACGUAUCCAGUUUGCGAUUUAGAAUCGUCCGGAUCAGUGUCAAAGCUUGCAUCAACGUAACCUUUUACGAUGAGCUCUUUGUCACCUCCAUAUACGAGAAACAUAUCCUUAGUCCUUUUCAGGUAUUUCAGGAUGUUCUUGACCGCUGUCCAGUGAUCCACUCCUGGAUUACUUUGGUACCUCCCUGCUAAACUUAUAGCAAGGCACACAUCAGGUCUGGUACACAGCAUUGCAUACAUGAUAGAGCCUAUGGCUGAUGCAUAGGGAACAUCUUUCAUAUUCUCUCUAUCUACUGCAGUGGUCGGGCAUUGAGUCUUACUCAAUUUCACACCUUGUAACACAGGCAAGAACCCUUUCUUUGCUUGAUCCAUUUUGAACUUCUUCAAAAUUUUGUCAAGGUAUGUGCUUUGUGAAAGUCCAAUUAAGCGUUUUGAUCUAUCUCUAUAGAUCUUAAUGCCUAAUAUGUAAGCAGCUUNNNNNNNNNNUUUCAUUGAAAAACUUUUAUUCAAGUAUCCCUUUAUGCUAUCCAGAAAUUCUAUAUCAUUUCCAAUCAGUAAUAUGUCAUCCACAUAUAAUAUCAGAAAUGCUACAGAGCUCCCACUCACUUUCUUGUAAAUACAGGCUUCUCCGAAAGUCUGUAUAAAACCAAAUGCUUUGAUCACACUAUCAAAACGUUUAUUCCAACUCCGAGAGGCUUGCACCAGUCCAUAAAUGGAUCGCUGGAGCUUGCACACUUUGUUAGCUCCCUUUGGAUCGACAAAACCUUCUGGUUGCAUCAUAUACAACUCUUCUUCCAGAAAUCCAUUCAGGAAUGCAGUUUUGACGUCCAUUUGCCAAAUUUCAUAAUCAUAAAAUGCGGCAAUUGCUAACAUGAUUCGGACGGACUUAAGCAUCGCUACGGGUGAGAAGGUCUCAUCGUAGUCAAUUCCUUGAACUUGCCGAAAACCUUUUUGCGACAAGUCGAGCUUUGUAGACAGUAACAUUACCAUCAGCGUCAGUCUUCUUCUUAAAGAUCCUUUAUUCUCAAUUGCUUGCCGAUCAUCGGGCAAGUCAACCAAAGUCCAUACUUUGUUCUCAUACAUGGAUCCCAUCUCAGAUUUCAUGGCUUCAAGCCACUUUGCGGAAUCUGGGCUCACCAUCGCUUCUUCAUAGUUCGUAGGUUCAUCAUGAUCUAGUAGCAUGACCUCCAGAACAGGAUUACCGUACCACUCUGGUGCGGAUCUUACUCUGGUUGAUCUACGAGGUUCAGCAGUAUCUUGAUCUGAAGUUUCAUGAUCAUUAUCAUUGGCUUCCUCACUAACUGGUGUAGGUAUCACUGAAACAGUUUUCUGUGAUGAACUACUUUCCAGUAAGGGAGCAGGUACAGUUACCUCGUCAAGUUCUACUUUCCUCCCACUCACUUCUUUCGAGAGAAACUCCUUCUCUAGAAAUGAUCCAUUCUUAGCAACGAAUGUCUUGCCUUCGGAUCUGUGAUAGAAGGUGUACCCAACAGUUUACUUUGGGUAUCCUAUGAAGACACAUUUCUCCGAUUUGGGUUCGAGCUUAUCAGGUUGAAGCUUUUUCACAUAAGCAUCGCAGCCCCAAACUUUAAGAAACGACAACUUUGGUUUCUUGCCAAACCACAGUUCAUAAGGCGUCGUCUCAACGGAUUUUGAUGGUGCCCUAUUUAACGUGAAUGCGGCCGUCUCUAAAGCAUAUCCCCAAAAAGAUAGCGGUAAAUCAGUAAGAGACAUCAUAGAUCGCACCAUAUCUAGUAAAGUACGAUUACGACGUUCAGACACACCAUUACGUUGUGGUGUUCCGGGUGGCGUGAGUUGCGAAACUAUUCCACAGUUUUUCAAAUGUAUACCAAACUCGUAACUCAAAUAUUCUCCUCCACGAUCAGAUCGUAGAAACUUUAUUUCUUGUUACGAUGAUUUUCAACUUCACUCUGAAAUUCUUUGAACUUUUCAAAUGUUUCAGACUUAUGUUUCAUUAAGUAGAUAUACCCAUAUCUGCUUAAAUCAUCUGUGAAGGUGAGAAAAUAACGAUAUCCGCCACGAGCCUCAAUAUUCAUCGGGCCACAUACAUCGGUAUGUAUGAUUUCCAACAAAUCUGUUGCUCUCUCCAUAGUACCGGAGAACGGCGUUUUAGUCAUCUUGCCCAUAAGGCACGGUUCGCAAGUACCAAGUGAUUCAUAAUCAAGUGGUUCCAAAAGUCCAUCAGCAUGGAGUUUCUUCAUGCGCUUUAUACCGAUAUGACCUAAACAACAGUGCCACAAAUAAGUUGCACUUUCGUUAUCAACUCUGCAUCUUUUGGCUUCAACAUUAUGAAUAUGUGUAUUACUACUAUCGAGAUUCAAUAAGAAUAGACCACUUUUCAAGGGUGCAUGACCAUAAAAGAUAUUACUCAUAUAAAUAGAACAACCAUUAUUCUCUGAUUUAAAUGAAUAACCGUCUCGCAUUAAACAAGAUCCAGAUAUAAUGUUCAUGCUCAACGCUGGCACCAAAUAACAAUUAUUUAGGUCUAAUAUUAAUCCCGAAGGUAGAUGUAGAGGUAGCGUGCCGACUGCGAUCACAUCGAAAUUGGAACCGUUUCCCACACGCAUCGUCACCUCGUCCUUUGCCAGUGCCCGCUUAUUCUUUAGUCCCUGUUUCGAGUUGCAAAUAUUAGCAACAGAACCAGUAUCAAAUACCCAGGUGCUACUGCGAGCUCUAGUAAGGUACACAUCAAUAACAUGUAUAUCACAUAUACCUUUGUUCACCUUGCCAUCCUUCUUAUCCGCCAAAUACUUGGGGCAGUUCCGCUUCCAGUGACCAGUCUGCUUGAAGUAGAAGCACUCAGUUUCAGGCUUAGGUCCAGACUUGGGUUUCUUCUCUUGAGCAGCAACUUGCUUGCCGUUCUUCUUGAAGUUCCCCUUUUUCUUCCCUUUGCCCUUUUUCUUGAAACUAGUGGUCUUGUUAACCAUCAACACUUGAUGCUCCUUCUUGAUUUCUACCUCUGCAGCUUUCAGCAUUGCGAAGAGCUCGGGAAUAGUCUUGUUCAUCCCUUGCAUAUUAUAGUUCAUCACAAAGCUCUUGUAGCUUGGUGGCAGUGAUUGGAGAAUUCUGUCAAUGACGCAAUCAUCCGGAAGAUUAACUCCCAGUUGAAUCAAGUGAUUAUUAUACCCAGACAUUUUGAGUAUAUGCUCACUGACAGAACUGUUCUCCUCCAUCUUGCAGCUAUAGAACUUAUUGGAGACUUCAUAUCUCUCAAUUCGGGCAUUUGCUUGAAAUAUUAACUUCAACUCCUGGAACAUCUCAUAUGCUCCAUGACGUUCAAAACGUCGUUGAAGUCCCGAUUCUAAGCCGUAAAGCAUGGCACACUGAACUAUCGAGUAGUCAUCAGCUUUGCUCUGCCAGUGUUGCUCCAGCAGCAGGCUUGGCACCCAGCGGUGCUUUCAGGACGUAAUUUUUCUGUGCAGCAAUGAGGAUAAUCCUCAAGUUAUGGACCCAGUCUGUGUAAUUGCUACCAUCAUCUUUCAACUUUGCUUUCUCAAGGAACGCAUUAAAAUUCAACGGAACAACAGCACGAGCCAUCUAUCUACAAUCAACAUAAACAAGCAAGAUACUAUCAGGUACUAAGUUCAUGAUAAAUUUAAGUUCAAUUAAUCAUAUUAUUUAAGAACUCCCACUUAGAUAGACAUCCCUCUAAUCCUCUAAGUGAUUACGUGAUCCAAAUCAACUAAACCAUGACCGAUCAUCACGUGAGAUGGAGUAGUUUUCAAUGGUGAACAUCGUUAUGUUGAUCAUAUCUACUAUAUGAUUCACGCUCGACCUUUCGGUCUCCGUGUUCCGAGGCCAUAUCUGCAUAUGCUAGGCUCGUCAAGUUUAACCUGAGUAUUCUGCGUGUGCAAAACUGGCUUGCACCCGUUGUAGAUGGACGUAGAGCUUAUCACACCCGAUCAUCACGUGGUGUCUGGGCACGACGAACUUUGGCAACGGUGCAUACUCAGGGAGAACACUUCUUGAUAAUUUAGUGACAGAUCAUCUUAUAAUGCUACCGUCAAUCAAAGCAAGAUAAGAUGCAUAAAAAGAUAAACAUCACAUGCAAUCAAUAUAAGUGAUAUGAUAUGGUCAUCAUCAUCUUGUGCUUGUGAUCUCCAUCUCCGAAGCACCUUCAUGAUCACCAUCGUCACCGGCGCGACACAUUGAUCUCCAUCGUAGCAUCGUUGUCGUCUCGCCAAUCUUAUGCUUCCACGACUAUCACUACCGUUUAGUAAUAAAGUAAAGCAUUACAUCGCGAUUGCAUUGCAUACAAUAAAGCGACAACCAUAUGGCUCCUGCCAGUUGCCGAUAACUCGGUUACAAAACAUGAUCAUCUCAUACAAUAAAAUUCAGCAUCAUGCUUUGACCAUAUCACAUCACAACAUGCCCUGCAAAAACAAGUUAGACGUCCUCUACUUUGUUGUUGCUUGUUUUACGUGGCUGCUACGGGCUUAAGUAAGAACCAAUCUCACCUACGCAUCAAAACCACAACGAUAGUUUGUCAAAUAGACUCCGUUUUAACCUUCGCAAGGACCGGGCGUAGCCAUACUUGGUUCAACUAAAGUUGGAGAGACAGUCGCCCGCAUGCCAUCUCUGUGCAAAGCACGUCGAGGGAACCGGUCUCGCGUAAGCGUACGCGUAAGGUUGGUCUGGGUCGUCUCGUCCAACAAUACCGCCGAACCAAAAUAUGACAUGCUGGUAGGCAGUAUGACUUGUAUCGUCCACAACUCACUUGUGUUCUACUCGUGCAAAUAACAUCAACAUCAAUAACCUAGGCUCUGAUACCACUGUUGGGUUACGUAGUAAUUUCAAAAAAUUUCCUACGCACACGCAAGAUCAUGUGAUGCAUAGCAACGAGGGGAGAGUAUUGUCUACGUACCCAACGCAGACCGACUGCGGAAGCGAUGACACGACGUAGAGGAGGUAGUCGUACGUCUUCUCGAUCCAACCGAUCAAGCACCGAAACUACGGUACCUCCGAGUUCGAGCACACGUUCAUCUCGAUGACGAUCCCCGGACUCCGAUCCAGCAAAGUGUCGGGGAAGAGUUUCGUCAGCACGACGGCGUGGUGACGAUCUUGAUGAACUACAGCAGCAGGGCUUCGCCUAAACUCCGCUACAGUAUUAUCGAGGAAUAUGGUGGCAGGGGGCACCGCACACGGCUAAGGAAUUGAUCACGUGGAUCAACUUGUGUCAACUUGUGUGUUUAGAGGUGCCCCUGCCUCCGUAUAUAAAGGAGGAGAGGAGGGGAGGCUGGCCGGCCAAGGGGGGGAGGCGCAGGAGAGUCCUACUCCCUCUGGGAGUAGGAUUCCCCCUCCAAUCCUAGUCCAACUAGGAUUCCUCGGAGGGGAAAAGAGGAGGAGGGGGCCGGCCACCUCUCCUAGUCCUAAUAGGACUAGGGAAAGGGGGGGGCGCGCAGCCCAACUAGGGCAGCCCCUUCUCUUUUCCACUAAGGCCCACUAUGGCCCAAAUAGCUCCCGGGGGGUUCCGGUAACCCUCCCGGUAUUCCGGUAAAAUCCCGAUUUCACCCGGAACACUUCCGAUAUCCAAAUAUAGGCUUCCAAUAUAUCAAUCUUUACGUCUCGACCAUUUAGAGACUCCUCGUCAUGUCCGUGAUCACAUUCGGGACUCCGAACAACCUUCGGUACAUCAAAAUGCAUAAACUCAUAAUAUAACUGUCAUCGUAACCUUAAGCGUGCGGACCCUACGGGUUCGAGAACAAUGUAGACAUGACCGAGACACGUCUCCGGUCAAUAACCAAUAGCGGGACCUGGAUGCCCAUAUUGGCUCCUACAUAUUCUACGAAGAUCUUUAUCGGUCAGACCGCAUAACAACAUAUGUUGUUCCCUUUGUCAUCGGUAUGUUACUUGCCCGAGAUUCGAUCGUCGGUAUCCAAUACCUAGUUCAAUCUCGUUACUGGCAAGUCUCUUUACUCGUUCCGUAAUACAUCAUUUCAGAACUAACAUAUUAGUUGUAAUGCUUGCAAGGCUUAUGUGAUGUGUAUUACCGAGAGGGCCCAGAGAUACCUCUCCGACAAUCGGAGUGACAAAUCCUAAUCUCGAAAUACGCCAACCCAACAUCGACCAUUGGAGACACCUGUAGUACUCCUUUAUAAUCACCCAGUUACGUUGUGACGUUUGGUAGUACCCAAAGUGUUCCUCCGGUAAACGGGAGUUGCAUAAUCUCAUAGUCAUAGGAACAUGUAUAAGUCAUGAAGAAAGCAAUAGCAACAUACUAAACGAUCGGGUGCUAAGCUAAUGGAAUGGGUCAUGUCAAUCAGAUCAUUCUACUAAUGAUGUGACCUUGUUAAUCAAAUAACAACUCAUUGUUCAUGGUUAGGAAACAUAACCAUCUUUGAUUAACGAGCUAGUCAAGUAGAGGCAUACUAGUGACACUUUGUUUGUCUAUGUAUUCACACAUGUAUUAUGUUUCCGGUAAAUACAAUUCUAGCAUGAAUAAUAAACAUUUAUCAUGAUUAUAAGGAAAUAAAUAAUAACUUUAUUAUUGCCUCUAGGGCAUAUUUCCUUCAGAAACAACAUAAGCUAACACGACUGAUAAGAGGAUAGGCCGCUAAAUGAGCGCACAGUUGCGUUACAAGGCGGAGAACGGCCCAAAAGCAACGAGCACGCAGGCUCGGAAGGUACUAAGACCAAAAAGGGGGGUUGUCCAUCCCUAUGCGGCACCCAGUUGAGCAGGCGACGGAGCUCGAGCCUCAGAGUAGACGGCGUGGAGAUGACAGAUAGCUUGGCGGUGGAGAUCAGAGUCCUGUUGUCUUCCCAGCGACGCCCAUUGCUGCAAGAAAACGAUGCAUUUGAAGAUAACGUCAGCGGGAUGCGAGGGAAACACCCCCUCAAUAGUAUACUUGUUACGGGUAUUCCAAAUAGCCCAUAGCAUAGCCGCCGCACAAGUCCACAUGAUCCUACGAGACGCGCCUUGAAACCCAGAUAAGGAAGAUACGAGCUCAGGUCGGGAGCGUGGAUCCCAAUCCACUCCCGCGGCCUCCCGGACCGCGCUCCAAGCGAAACGAGCCAGGGAGCAAAGGAAGAAGGUGUGGUCAGCGUCUUCCGGGACCCCACAUAGCGCACAGGGGCCGGAGGCGGGGCCGUUGCGUUUAGCGAGGUUAAUAGAGGUAGGAAGGCGAUCUUGACAAAGUUGCCAAAGGAAGACCUUAAUUUUGAGCGGGAUCAUUGCCUUCCAAAGCCCCGUGGCCGCCGCCGGGAUCUGACCGUGGCAUAGCUCUCUGUACAUGGAUUUGACAGAGAAUUUGCCAGAGCUCGCAAGUCUCCACGAGAUCAGGUCCGCGGAUUCCGACAGUCGGGCGUCCGCAAGUAGCGUCAGAAGGCGGUCCCAGUCUGCCAACUCCGGCCCGAUUAGCUCACGUCUGAAGUUAAUAUAGGGGGGGGGUGUUAAGAGCCGAGGCAACCCGUUGUUCGGGUUCGACCGCUAAGGAGUAUAGUUGUCGAAACUCCGCCCAUAAUGGGCGCUGGCCAAUCCAGUGAUCAAGCCAGAGACGCGUAGAGCGUCCGUUGUUAACCGCAAACUUUGCGCCCCUGGCAAAGAGGGGUUUAAGGGAUUGAAUGGAAUUCCAGAAAGGAGACCCACUGGGAGCCGCGUCAAAAAAAUCUCCUUGCAGGAAAUAUUUUGCCCGGAGGAGGUCGAUCCAGAGGCCAGUCUCCCCCUGAGUCAUUUUCCAGAUCCACUUGCACAUUAGUGCGAUGUUCAUCAACUUGGAGUUGAUGAUCCCGAGACCCCCCUGGGUUUUGGGACGACACACGGCUUGCCAUUUAACCAUGUGGUAUUUUCGUUUCGGUCCCGCUCCUUCCCAAAAGAAACGGGACCGCGGUGUGUCAAACUUAGAGUGUACCCCGUCCGCCAGCAAGAACAGACCCAUGGCAAACAUGGGCAAAGAUGAGAGGCCGGUGUUGGUAAGGAUUAGUCUUGCCCCUGAAGACAUAAAACGGCCCCUCCACGGGCAAACCCUAUUCGCCACCUUGGAGGAGAGGGGCUCCCAGUCAGCGAUUGUACACUUCUUUGCCGCUAUUGGGAGCCCGAGGUAAGUAAACGGGAACUGGCCUAGUUUGCAGUUAAGCAGGUUGGCGACCCGUUGACUUUCUGUCGCAUCCAUCCCUAUGGACACCACCUCACUUUUGAGGAAGUUAAUUUUUAGUCCCGACAUGAGUUCGAAGCACAACAGUAUGGCUUUGACCGAAGCGAUACUAUGUGUGUCGGGCUCGAAAAGAAGAAGGGUGUCAUCCGCGUAUUGCAAGUGAGACACUCCUCCCGGGAUUAGGUUGUCCACGACACCCCUAAUGUGGCCGGCUAGACGAGCCCUGUCUAGCAUGGCGCCUAAAGCGUCCGCCACGAAGUUAAAAAGCAACGGCGACGCUGGGUCCCCUUGACGCAGCCCGCGCUUGUUGCGGAAGAAGUUCCCUACUUCUCCGUUCACCGCGAUCGCCGUUUGGCCUCCCGAGACCAACUGCAUCAUGCGGUGAACCCAAACCGACGAGAAACCUCGGUCCAGGAGUACCUGUCGGAGGAACUCCCAGUUCACGCGGUCGUACGCCUUCUCAAAAUCGAGUUUGAGGAUAAUCGCUGGCUGUCGAGCGCGCUUAAGGGAGUGGAUAAUUUCUUGAAGGACCAGCGGCCCCUCCAAGAUGUUUCGGCCCCGAAUGAACGCGGACUGGGUUCUACUAAUAAUGCGGUGGGCUAUCGGGGACAUGCGAGUAGAACAAGCCUUAGCACAAAUUUUAAACGGGACGUUAAUUAAAGCAAUAGGUCGAAAAAGUCUAAUGUGAUCCGCACCCGGGACCUUGGGGAUCAAAGAGAGAACCCCAAAGUUCAGGCGGGAAAUGUCUACCGUACCGCGCAUAAAACCAUUGCACACGUCAAAAAUGGGGUUUUUGAGCACUUGCCAAAACCGCUUGAACAUCGCCACCGGCCACCCAUCCGGCCCCGGCGCAGUGUCCGAUUUCAUACCCAGCGUCGCCUUGUCAAUCUCCUCCGGGAGGAAGGCUAAGCUCAGGUUCUCGUUUUCCUCGUCCAUGACCCGCAACGCAGGUUCCCACACAUCCUCCCUCAGGCGAGCCCUGGGUUCCUCCCUGGAACCCAUGAGUUGGAUGUAGAACUCGUAGAUGUGCCGGAUGAUAUCCUGUUGCCGCAGUAGGAGCCCCUGCUCCGAUUGAAGACGAAGGAUAGCGCACUUACGGUGUCGGCCAUUUGCGUAUGCGUGGAAGUAUUUUGUGUUCGCGUCGCCCUUGAGCGUCCACUUUAUUCCACCGCGCCUACGCCAGUACUCUUCCUCGGCCCUGAGGAGGGAUUCGACUUGGGCCUCAAGCGCGUAGCGCUGGGCCCAGUCCUGCGCGGAAAAGAUGUGCAGAUCUGCCGCUGCGUCUAGCUGGGCUAGCUCCUCAGUCAGGCGCACCCUUAACCGCUUAUCCGCCCAACCCUGAUUAGCUCCCCACCCUUUGAGAGCCGCUCGCAUACCCGCCCCUACGGCAAUCCAGAACUCCAUGGGGCCGCGUACGCGCCCGAUGCGAGCAACGCAAUUCGCCCACUUCGAAAGGAAGGUUUGCUCGAAAUCCGGAGACUCCAGCCAUGCUGUUUCGAAGAAGAAACGCGGGCUACAUUUAAGCCUUUCCUCCCCCGAGGAAAGGAUGAGGGGGACGUGGUCCGACCCGAUCCUAGUUUCUGCGUGUAGAGAGCACAGGGGGAACAGCACCUCCCACUCCGAGGACAUAAAAACCCUGUCCAAGACCGAACGCACCGGCGUAAGCUGUUUGUUAGUCCAGGUAUAUCGAGCCCCCACGCGGGCCACUUCCCUAAGGGCCAUGGAAGCAAUAGCAUUAUUAAACAUGGCCACCCUUGACCAGUUAAUAAUACCGUUGUUCUUGUCCGCUCCCGAGCGGAUCAAGUUGAAAUCACCCCCCACCAACAGAGGAAGGUUGCUCACGCCAACAGCCCUCACCUUUGUCUGAAGCUCUUCCAAGAACUCCAGCGAGAGCGAGUGAUUGGCCGGGCCAUACACGGCAAUCACCACCCACUCCUGAAGAGUGGCGCGGUGCCGCACGUGGGCCGACGGGAAGAAGCGGCCGGCAUCCCAAGCCACCACUUCAAGGCAGACUAGGUUAACUCCUAGCAGCAAACCCCCGGAGUGUCCUACCGCAGGCACCCAGUGCCAGACAAAACGCUCCAACGGGUCAACCGCAAGCAAGUCCCGGUGGUUGAAAUCGGCCUUGAUAGUCUCUUGCAAUCCGACCACGUCGAUUUCCUCGUUCCUAAUGAACUCUCGUAACUGGGUCCGCCUCCCAGCGUGGCCGAAGCCUCGGAUAUUCCAGAAGAUGAAACGCAUUAGAUGAUGCGGUUUCGUAGACGGAUACCGCGAGCGGUAACCGCUUUGGCCACGCGCCGUGUCUUGGCAGGACGACGGUUGGGGGAGGAUGGUGCAGCCCCUGCUACUUGGUCCUCCUGUUCGGGCCGCACACCUGGCACCAGAGGAGCCCCUGCUUCCUUUGCUAUCGGCGCAGCGCGGGCCUGCGCUGCCUUAGCAAGCGCAGCCUGCGCGAUUUCCUUCGCACGAAUGAGAGACAGCACCUCUUGCGCUUCCCCCUCAUCAGCCAUCGCAACGCCACUAUCCGCUAAGAUACCCCUCAAGCACUCAUCUGGAUAAUCUUCAAAAAUCGUAAAGCGGGGCAUGGGGUUACCUUCGAUUUCGAGGUUCUUCUGCGCCUGGAGGAGCUGGGCCCGCUGGAGGGACGGCAUGUUGCCCUUGGCGCCCUUCGGACGGGAGCUCGUCCUCUCUUGAGUCGCCGGGGACGCCACCGCCUUGGACCGCCUGGCCAUGGGGAUGGGAGCCACCUUGGCCACCGCCACCCGAAGAGCGUCCGGAGGUGGGGGGGAGAUGACCGAUGGGGUGUCCCCUGCCCGCCCCCCUGGGGAGGCCAGAGCCAUCACCACCGGCCUCUGGACCGACACGCUCGCACGGACCUCGGGGGUGCCCGCUGGCGCCACCGCAGGUGGUUUGCGGCCCGCCAUCUUCUUCUGAAGCUUCAACACGCCGCCACCACUGCCGGUCACCACCUUGGGAGGGCUUGCCACAACCCCUGACGCGUCCACCAGCGCAACCACCGGGGAGACCAGCGUCGAGCGGCCCUCCGAGUCGCAGGACGCCGAGACGCCCUUGUCGAUGUCGAGGCUCAUGGUCAUGUUGGAUCCGUACUGGUUGAAACCCGUCUCGUUGCUGCCCACCACCACUUGGCACAUCUCCUGAUCCUGCGCCGCGCCCGCCGCCGGAGGCGCAGCCUGCCCAUCCUUGUCCUUGAGGCCCAGUUUGUCCCAAGUAGCCGUGUCGAUGGAGUCGUCCCCCGUGCUCAUGUCCUGGUCCUUGUCCUUGUCCUUGUCCUUGUCUUCCUGGCCCUUGUCGAGGUCAGACGGCGGAGGGGGAGGGGGGGUUGGAGCCGCGCCCUGCUGAGCGCCCGCCUCUGCCUCAAGGCGGAAGGUGUAUCCCUCGCUGUUGAACCAGAUCUGCACGUAUCCCUUGAGCUUAUCCGGGGCACGACACGCGAAACGCAUCCGCACCGGACCCAGGCCGGACAGCGACGCCAGAUCCACCUCCAUCGGGCGUCCAAUCAUCACAGUGGCGGCCAUGAGGCGGUCCACGUGGCGGUGCUUGGGUGGCACGCCCCACAGCUUGACCCAGGUGUCUGGCAUGAGCUCGGCCGUGGGCUCCUCUAGGCGCGCCUCCUUGAUGUCCGCCAUGAUGUCGUGGAGGGAGAAGUAGAGCUUGCCGCUGCGGGUUGCCAUCCUUAACAUGGCCUUGUCGGGGAAGACGACCGAGAACUGGUCAGCUCCGACGGCCGAGACUUGCCAGUCCCACUCCCCUUCGAAGAGGUGAGGGAGUUCCGCCUCCAGGAUGGGGAUGGAGAGCUUGCCCGGCGCCGCCGAAAUGAUCGCCGUAUCCGAGACGAGAGGGGCACGGACCUCCUCCCCUUCCGUGUCCACGAAAGGGAGGUAGAAGAAGCCUUCGCCCGGAAUCGCGUUGCCCAUGAUCUGCAGCGCCAGGGGCCUCCCCCUCGUGGGGCAGUAGGCAGACGCAUGUCCUUCCCCGUGGCAGACGACACACAGGGGCUUGAAGGAGCACAUGUUCUGGUAGUGCCCCACCCUGCCGCACUUGAAACACUCUGGCCCAUCGGCCUCUUCCACGGGGAUCGGGGCGUCCGCCGAUCCCUUAGAAGCCUCGGGGCCAGCCGCCAACUGCAGCGGCGCCGAGCUGUCCCCUUUAUGCUUCGACUUCUUGGCCUGCGGAACCCCGGCCCGCUCGCCGCCCAGAGGGAGCUGGGACUCCUUCCGCUUGAGCUCCUUCUUCUGCUCGAGUCCCCGCCGCCGAUACUCCUCCUUCUUCCUCUUCUUUCGCUCUCGCUCCUCCUUCUUCCGCUCCUGCUUAGCGAUCCACCAUGGAGGCGGCGGCCCCCAGCCCCCAUCCUCCGCUGGAGACGCUGGCACCUUGGUGAGCACCUUCGCCCGCAGAUCCUUUUCACGCUGUCGCUCCGCCGCCGGGAUCGGGGGUGACAUGGGGGGCUUGUCACUCCGGCGGGACCCCAUCCGCACCGCAGUGGCGUAUGAGCACGAAAGGGGAGGAGGAGGGGCGGAUCGGAGCAGACGGCGCGCCAGAUGUCCGAAGCGCCGCACCUGCGUGGGAGAGGCAGGAAACCCUAGCGAUAGAUCUAGGGUUCCUUUCGGAACCCACAUCCACCUAUUAAUAGGAGGAGACGGCCUCGGCUUCUCCGUCACGCUGGGCCCGGGCCGAGGCGCAGGCUCGCAACCGGCCACUUGGCCUGAUUGGACUAGCUGUUGGGGAACGUUGCAGAAAACAAAAAAUUUCCUACUCGUUUCACCAAGAUCAUCUAGGAGUUCAUCUAGCAACGAGUGAUUAGAUGCAUCUACAUACCUUUGUAGAUCGCGAGCGGAAGAGUUCAAAAGAACGGUGAUGAUGUAGUCGUACUCGACGUGAUCCAAAUCACCGAUGACCAGCGCCGAACGGACGGCACCUCCGCGUUCAACACACGUACGGAACAGCCACGUCUCCUCCUUCUUGAUCCAGCAAGGGAGGGAGGAGAGGUUGAGGGAGAUGGCACCAGCAGCAGCACGACGGCGUGGUGUUGAUGGAGCUGCAGUACUCCGGCAGAGCUUCGCUAAGCACUAUGGAGGUGGAGGAGGUGUUGGGGAGGGAGAAGGAGGCAACCAAAGGCCAAGGCGUUCAGGUAUGAAGUCCCUCCUCUCCCCCACUAUAUAUAGGAGGGCCAAGGGGGGGUGGCCGGCCCUAGGAGAUCCAAUCUCCUAGGGGGUGCGGCGGCCAAGGGGGGUUUCCCUCCCCCCCAAGGCACCUAGGAGGUGCCUUCCCCUCCUAGGACUCUUCCCCCUUCAAACCCUAGGCGCAUGGGCCUAUGUGGGGCUGGUGCCCUUGGCCCAUUAGGCCAAGGCGCACCCCCUACAGCCCAUGUGCCCCCCCGGGACAGGUGGACCCACCCGGUGGACCCCCGGGACCCUUCCGGUGGUCCCGGUACAAUACCGAUAACCCCUAAACUUGUCCCGAUGCCCGAAACAGGACUUCCCAUAUAUAAAUCUUUACCUCCGGACCAUUCCGGAACUCCUCGUGACGUCCGGGAUCUCAUCCGGGACUCCGAACAACAUUCGGGUUACAGCAUAUACAUAUCCCUACAACCCUAGCGUAACUGAACCUUAAGUGUGUAGACCCUACGGGUUCGGGAGACAAGCAGACAUGACCGAGACGACUCUCCGGUCAAUAACCAACAGCGGGAUCUGGAUACCCAUGUUGGCUCCCACAUGCUCCACGACGAUCUCAUCGGAUGAACCACGAUGUCGAGGAUUCUAUCAACCCCGUACGCUAUUCCCUUUGUCUAUCGAUAUGUUACUUGCCCGAGAUUCGAUCGUCGGUAUCCCAAUACCUCGUUCAAUCUCGUUACCGGCAAGUCACUUUACUCGUACCGUAAUGCAUGAUCCCGUGACCAGACACUUGGUCACUCUGAGCUCAUUAUGAUGAUGCAUUACCGAGUGGGCCCAGUGAUACCUCUCCGUCAUACGGAGUGACAAAUCCCAGUCUUGAUCCAUGUCACCCAACAGACACUUUCGGAGAUACCCGUAGUCUACCUUUAUAGUCACCCAGUUACGUUGUGACGUUUGGCAUACCCAAAGCACUCCUACGGUAUCCGGGAGUUACACGAUCUCAUGGUCUAAGGAAAAGAUACUUGACAUUGGAAAACUCUAGCAAACGAACUAUACGAUCUUGUGCUAUGUUUAGGAUUGGGUCUGGUCCAUCACAUCAUUCUCCCAAUGAUGUGAUCUCGUUAUCAAUGACAUCCAGUGUCCAUAGUCAGGAAACCAUGACUAUCUGUUGAUCAACGAGCUAGUCAACUAGAGGCUCACUAGGGACACGUUGGUGUCUGUUAUUCACACAUGUAUUACGAUUUCCGGAUAACACAAUUAUAGCAUGAAUAAAGACAAUUAUCAUGAACAAGGAAAUAUAAUAAUAAUGCUUUUAUUAUUGCCUCUAGGGCAUAUUUCCAACAGUCUCCCACUUGCACUAGAGUCAAUAAUCUAGUUACAUUGUGAUGAAUCGAACACCCAUGGAAUUCUGGUGUUGAUCAUGUUUUGCUCUAGGGAGAGGUUUAGUCAACGGAUCUGCUACAUUCAGGUCCGUAUGUACUUUACAAAUCUCUAUGUCUCCAUCUUGAACAUUUUCACGAAUGGAGUUGAAGCGACGCUUGAUGUGCCUUGUCUUCUUGUGAAACCUGGGCUCCUUGGCAAGUGCAAUAGCUCCAGUGUUGUCACAGAAGAGCUUGAUCGGCCCCGACGCAUUGGGUAUGACUCCUAGGUCGGUGAUGAACUCCUUCACCCAUAUUGCUUCAUGUGCUGCCUCUGAGGCUGCCAUGUACUCCACUUCACAUGUAGAUCCCGCCACAACGCUUUGCUUGCAACUGCACCAGCUUACUGCCCCACCAUUCAAAAUAUACACGUAUCCGGUUUGUGACUUAGAGUCAUCCAGAUCUGUGUCGAAGCUAGCGUCGACGUAACCCUUUACGACGAGCUCUUCGUCACCCCCAUAAACGAGAAACAUUUCCUUAGUCCUUUUCAGGUACUUCAGGAUAUUCUUGACCGCUGUCCAGUGUUCCUUGCCGGGAUUACUUUGGUACCUUCCUACCAAACUUACGGCAAGGUUUACAUCAGGUCUGGUACACAGCAUGGCAUACAUAAUAGAACCUAUGGCUGAGGCAUAGGGGAUGACGCUCAUCUCUUCUAUAUCUUCUGCCGUGGUCGGACAUUGAGCUGAGCUCAAUUUCAUACCUUGCAACACAGGCAAGAACCCCUUCUUGGAUUGAUCCAUAUUGAACUUCUUCAAUAUCUUAUCAAGGUAUGUGCUUUGUGAAAGACCUAUGAGGCGUCUCGAUCUAUCUCUAUAGAUUUUGAUGCCUAAUAUAUAAGCAGCUUCUCCAAGGUCCUUCAUUGAAAAACUUUUAUUCAAGUAGGCCUUGAUGCUGUCCAAGAGUUCUAUAUCAUUUCUCAUCAAAAGUAUGUCAUCUACAUAUAAUAUGAGAAAUGCUACAGAGCUCCCACUCACUUUCUUGUAAACGCAGGCUUCUCCAUAAGUCUGUGUAAACCCAAACGCUUUGAUCAUCUCAUCAAAGCGAAUGUUCCAACUCCGAGAUGCUUGCACCAGCCCAUAAAUCGAGCGUUGGAGCUUGCACACUUUGUCAGCAUUCUUAGGAUCGACAAAACCUUCCGGCUGCAUCAUAUACAAUUCUUCCUUAAGGAAACCAUUAAGGAAUGCCGUUUUGACGUCCAUUUGCCAUAUUUCGUAAUCAUAGAAUGCGGCAAUUGCUAACAUGAUUCGGACGGACUUCAGCUUCGCUACCGGUGAGAAAGUCUCAUCGUAGUCAACCCCUUGAACUUGUCGAUAACCCUUAGCGACAAGCCGAGCUUUAUAGAUGGUCACAUUACCAUCCGCGUCUGUCUUCCUCUUAAAGAUCCAUUUAUUUUCUAUGGCUCGCCGCUCAACGGGCAAGUCAGUCAAAGUCCAUACUUUCAUGGCUUCCAGCCAUUUGUCGGAAUCUGGUCCCGCCAUCGCUUCCUCAUAGUUCGAAGGUUCACCGUUGUCUAACAACAUGAUUUCCAAGACAGGGUUGCCGUACCACUCUGGUGCGGAACGUGUCCUUGUGGACCUUCGGAUUUCAGUAGGGGCUUGAUCAGAAGUAUCUUGAUCAUUAACUUCCUCUCUAGUCGGUGCAGGCACCUCAGGAACAUUUUCUUGAGUUGCGCCAUUUUCCGGUUCAAGAGGUAAUACUUCAUCAAGCUCUACUUUCCUCCCACUUACUUCUUUCGAGAGAAACUCUUUCUCCAGAAAGGACCCAUUCUUGGCAACAAAGAUCUUGCCUUCGGAUCUGAGGUAGAAGGUGUACCCAAUAGUUUCUUUUGGGUACCCUAUGAAGACGCAUUUUUCCGAUUUGGGUUCGAGCUUUUCAGGUUGAAGUUUCUUGACAUAAGCAUCGCAUCCCCAAACUUUUAGAAACGAUAGCUUAGGUUUCUUCCCAAACCAUAAUUCAUACGGUGUCGUCUCAACGGAUUUCGACGGAGCCCUAUUUAAAGUGAAUGCGGCAGUCUCUAAAGCAUAGCCCCAAAAAGAAAGCGGUAAAUCGGUAAGAGACAUCAUAGAUCGCACCAUAUCUAACAGAGUGCGAUUACGACGUUCGGACACACCAUUACGCUGAGGUGUUCCAGGCGGCGUGAGUUGUGAAACUAUUCCACAUUUUCUUAAGUGUGCCCCAAACUCGUGACUCAAGUAUUCUCCUCCACGAUCUGAUCGUAGAAACUUGAUUUUCCUGUCACGCUGAUUUUCAACCUCACUCUGAAAUUCCUUGAACUUUUCAAAGGUUUCAGACUUGUGUUUCAUUAAGUAGAUAUACCCAUACCUACUUAAAUCAUCAGUGAGAGUGAGAACAUAACGAUAGCCACCGCGAGCCUCAACACUCAUCGGACCGCACACAUCAGUAUGUAUGAUUUCCAAUAAGUCGGUUGCUCGCUCCAUUGUUCCUGAGAACGGAGUCUUGGUCAUUUUACCCAUAAGGCAUGGUUCGCACGUGUCAAAUGAUUCAUAAUCAAGAGACUCUAAAAGUCCAUCAGCAUGGAGCUUCUUCAUACGUUUGACACCUAUGUGACCAAGGCGGCAGUGCCACAAGUAUGUGGGACUAUCAUUAUCAACCUUACUUCUUUUGGUACUCACAUUAUGAACAUGUGUAGCAUCACGUUCGAGAUUCAUAAAGAAUAAACCAUUCACCAUAGGAGCAUGACCAUAAAACAUAUCUCUCAUAAAAAUGGAACAACUAUUAUUCUCAGAUUUAAAAGAGUAGCCAUCUCGAAUUAAACGAGAUCCUGAUAUAAUGUUCAUGCUCAAAGCUGGCACUAAAUAACAAUUAUUAAGGUUUAAAACUAAUCCCGAAGGGAGAUGCAGAGGUAGCGUGCCGACGGCGAUCACAUUGGCCUUGGAACCAUUCCCGACGCGCAUCGUCACCUCGUCCUUUGCCAGUUUCCGCUUAUUCCGCAGCCCCUGCUUUGAGUUACAAAUGUGAGCAACUGCACCGGUAUCAAAUACCCAGGAGCCACUACGGGCACUAGUAAGGUACACAUCAAUUACAUGUAUAUCACAUAUACCUUUUGUUUUGCCGGCCUUCUUAUCCGCUAAGUACUUAGGGCAGUUCCGCUUCCAGUGACCGCUUCCCUUGCAAUAAAAGCACUCAGUCUCGGGCUUGGGUCCAUUCUUUGCCUUCUUCCCGGCAGCUUGCUUGCCGGGCGCGGCAACCUCCUUGCCGUCCUUCUUGAAGUUCUUUUUACCCUUGCCUUUCUUGAACUUAGUGGUUUUAUUGACCAUCAACACUUGAUGUUCCUUCCUGACUUCUACCUCUGCUGAUUUCAGCAUAGAAAAUACUUCAGGAAUGGUCUUUUCCAUCCCCUGCAUAUUGAAGUUCAUCACAAAGCUCUUGUAGCUUGGUGGAAGCGACUGGAGGAUUCUGUCAAUGACCGCAUCAUCCGGGAGAUUAACUCCCAGCUGAGUCAAGCGGUUAUGCAACCCAGACAUAGUGAGUAUGUGCUCACUGACAGAACUGUUUUCCUCCAUCUUACAGCUAAAGAAUUUGUCGGAGACUUCAUAUCUCUCGACCCGGGCAUGAGCUUGGAAAACCAUUUUCAGCUCUUCGAACAUCUCAUAUGCUCUAUGUCUCUCAAAAUGCUUUUGGAGCCCCGGCUCUAGGCUGUAAAGCAUGCCGCAUUGAACGAGGGAGUAGUCAUCGAAACGUGCCUGCCAAGCGUUCAUAACAUCUUGUUCUGCAGGGAGAACGGGUGCGUCACCAAGCGGUGCUUGUAGGACAUAAUCUUUCUUGGCAGCUAUGAGGAUGAUCCUCAGGUUCCGGACCCAGUCCGUAUAGUUGCUGCCAUCGUCUUUCAGCUUGGUUUUCUCUAGGAACGCAUUGAAGUUGAGGACUACGUUGGCCAUUUAAUCUACAAGACAUAUUGUAAAAUAUUUAGACUAAGUUCAUGAUAAUUAAGUUCAACUAAUCAAAUUAUUAAUGAACUCCCACUUAGAUUAGACAUCCCUCUAGUCAUCUAAGUAUUACAUGAUCCGAGUUAAACUAGACCGUGUCCGAUCAUCACGUGAGACGGACUAGUCAACAUCGGUGAACAUCUUCAUGUUGAUCGUAUCUUCUAUACGACUCAUGCUCGACCUUUCGGUCUUCCGUGUUCCGAGGCCAUGUCUGUACAUGCUAGGCUCGUCAAGUCAACCUAAGUGUUUGCAUGUGUAAAUCUGUCUUACACCCGUUGUAUGUGAACGUCUGAAUAAAACACCCGAUCAUCACGUGGUGUUUUGAAACAGCGAACUGCCGCAACGGUGCACAGCUAGGGGGAACACUUCUUGAAUUUAUUGUGAGGGAUCAUCUUAUUUACUACCGUCGUUCUAAGUAAACAAGAUGCAAAACAUGAUAAACAUCACAUGCAAUCAAAUAAUAAACGUGACAUGAUAUGGCCAAUAUCACAUAGCUCCUUUGAUCUCCAUCUUAGGGCUCCAUGAUCAUCUUGUCACCGGCUUGACACCAUGAUCUCCAUCAUCAUGAUCUCCAUCAUCGUGUCUCCAUGAAGUUGCUCGCCAACCAUUACUUCUACUACUAUGGCUAACGCGUUUAGCAAUAAAGUAAAAUAAUUUACAUGGCGUUUCUCGAUGACACGCAGGUCAUUAAAAGAAUAAUGACAACUCCUAUGGCUCCUGCCGGUUGUCAUACUCAUCGACAUGCAAGUCGUGAAUCCUAUUACAAUAGCAUGAACAUCUCAUACAUCACAUAUAGAUCAUUCAUCAUUCAUCACAACUUUGGCCAUAUCAUAUCACAAACCACUUGCUGCAAAAACAAGUUAGACGUCCUCUAAUUGUUGUUGCAAGUUUUACGUGGCUGAAUUAGGGUUCUAGCAAGAACGUCUUCUUACCUACGUUAAAGCCACAACGUGAUUUGUCAACUUCUAUUUACCCUUCAUAAGGACCCUGUUCAUCGAUUCCGCUCCAACUAAAGUGGGAGAGACAGACACCCGCCAGCCACCUUAUGCAACUAGUGCAUGUUAGUCGGUGGAACCGGUCUCACGUAAGCGUACGUGUAAGGUUGGUCCAGGCCGCUUCAUCCCACAAUACCGCUGAAGCAAGAAAGGACUAGUAACGGCAAGAAAGUUGACAAAUCUACGCCCACAACAAAUUGUGUUCUACUCGCGCAAGAAGAACUACGCAUAGACCUAGCUCAUGAUGCCACUGUUGGGGAACGUUGCAGAAAACAAAAAUUUUCCUACUCGUUUCACCAAGAUCAUCUAGGAGUUCAUCUAGCAACGAGUGAUUAGAUGCAUCUACAUACCUUUGUAGAUCGCGAGCGGAAGAGUUCAAAAGAACGGUGAUGAUGUAGUCGUACUCGACGUGAUCCAAAUCACCGAUGACCAGCGCCGAACGGACGGCACCUCCGCGUUCAACACACGUACGGAACAGCCACGUCUCCUCCUUCUUGAUCCAGCAAGGGAGGGAGGAGAGGUUGAGGGAGAUGGCACCAGCAGCAGCACGACGGCGUGGUGUUGAUGGAGCUGCAGUACUCCGGCAGAGCUUCGCUAAGCACUAUGGAGGUGGAGGAGGUGUUGGGGAGGGAGAAGGAGGCAACCAAAGGCCAAGGCGUUCAGGUAUGAAGUCCCUCCUCUCCCCCACUAUAUAUAGGAGGGCCAAGGGGGGGUGGCCGGCCCUAGGAGAUCCAAUCUCCUAGGGGGUGCGGCGGCCAAGGGGGGUUUCCCUCCCCCCCAAGGCACCUAGGAGGUGCCUUCCCCUCCUAGGACUCUUCCCCCUUCAAACCCUAGGCGCAUGGGCCUAUGUGGGGCUGGUGCCCUUGGCCCAUUAGGCCAAGGCGCACCCCCUACAGCCCAUGUGGCCCCCCGGGACAGGUGGACCCACCCGGUGGACCCCCGGGACCCUUCCGGUGGUCCCGGUACAAUACCGAUAACCCCGAAACUUGUCCCGAUGCCCGAAACAGGACUUCCCAUAUAUAAAUCUUUACCUCCGGACCAUUCCGGAACUCCUCGUGACGUCCGGGAUCUCAUCCGGGACUCCGAACAACAUUCGGGUUACAGCAUAUACAUAUCCCUACAACCCUAGCGUAACUGAACCUUAAGUGUGUAGACCCUACGGGUUCGGGAGACAAGCAGACAUGACCGAGACGACUCUCCGGUCAAUAACCAACAGAGGGAUCUGGAUACCCAUGUUGGCUCCCACAUGCUCCACGACGAUCUCAUCGGAUGAACCACGAUGUCGAGGAUUCUAUCAACCCCGUACGCUAUUCCCUUUGUCUAUCGAUAUGUUACUUGCCCGAGAUUCGAUCGUCGGUAUCCCAAUACCUCGUUCAAUCUCGUUACCGGCAAGUCACUUUACUCGUACCGUAAUGCAUGAUCCCGUGACCAGACACUUGGUCACUCUGAGCUCAUUAUGAUGAUGCAUUACCGAGUGGGCCCAGUGAUACCUCUCCGUCAUACGGAGUGACAAAUCCCAGUCUUGAUCCAUGUCACCCAACAGACACUUUCGGAGAUACCCGUAGUCUACCUUUAUAGUCACCCAGUUACGUUGUGACGUUUGGCAUACCCAAAGCACUCCUACGGUAUCCGGGAGUUACACGAUCUCAUGGUCUAAGGAAAAGAUACUUGACAUUGGAAAACUCUAGCAAACGAACUAUACGAUCUUGUGUUAUGUUUAGGAUUGGGUCUUGUCCAUCACAUCAUUCUCCCAAUGAUGUGAUCUCGUUAUCAAUGACAUCCAGUGUCCAUAGUCAGGAAACCAUGACCAUCUGUUGAUCAACGAGCUAGUCAACUAGAGGCUCACUAGGGACAUGUCGGUGUCUGUUAUUCACACAUGUAUUACGAUUUCCGGAUAACACAAUUAUAGCAUGAAUAAAGACAAUUAUCAUGAACAAGGAAAUAUAAUAAUAAUGCUUUUAUUAUUGCCUCUAGGGCAUAUUUCCAACACUAGCCCCGACUCGGUGGGUAGCCCCUGCCCCCCUCCUGGCCCAGUGACGGUGGAGAGCGACAUUGAGCCCACCGGCCCCGCAGGCGCUGAAGCCUGCUGGCCCAACGCAGGGUCCCCCAGCCCACCCCAUGGCAGGCUGGGCCAGUCAUUUGGCCCAACACCGGAACAGGCCCAGCCGUCGGUGCCCCGGAAACCCUAGCCAGGUUCCGUGCAGCCCCUGCCCGGCCAGCCCCGCCGCCGCCGUCGCCAGCCCCGGCCGGCUCCGGCAGGCACGAAAGGGCCCGAGGGGGCUCCGCCAGCACCAGAUCUCGGCGGACCGCCACCGGAAUGGCGCACGAGCGGCCUUCUGGGCCCGCAUCCACCCCCUUUGGCGGGCACCAGAUCCGCGCCGCCAGGCGGCGGCCUCCCUUCCCUCCGGGAGCAAAAGCACGCCGCCGACCAGCCACGAAGGAGCCCCCAAGCUCCUCCGCACGGGCGAUGAAAUCGCCCACCGAGCACCCAUCCUUGGGCCUCGGCGAACCACCGGAACUACCUAAACUCACCUGAGAACCUACCUCGUCGGCGUCGAUGUCGGAGUCAAACCCCUCUAGCGCCCAGAACCGGCUGCCGGAGAAGGACGGAGCAGGGGGCCGCCCCUCUGGCAGCGCGCCCCUCCGCGGCCGCCCCGCGGCAGGCCGCACCACCGUCCAGCCGGCCACCUCCGCCGCGGCGCUCGCUGCGUCUCCCUUCGCCUCGCGCGUCCCAGACGCGUCGCCCUCCGCAUCACGCGUCCCAGACAUCAAUCCCAACAUUAGCGCCUCUUCCUAUCAAUCAAAUGUUUAGUUGCAGAUUAUCUCAUCUCAAUGCAAACAGGGGAGACAUGAAAAGCUCCUCUGCCAUCGACAGAUGCAAUGCGAUAGAAUAGAAUAGAAUAAUUUAUUAGGUCUUUGCAUAUUUGGAAUAAAACUAGCAUGAGAAAAUCUACUAAAAUUAGUCCACCCAAGAAUGAAAAUAAAUAUGAAACGGUAUGAAAUAGUCCAAAGUGUGGCUUCACUUAAUAAAUAAUGAAAUGUCUCUUACCAAAACAUAUUUAGAAAAAGUUUUUUUAUUUUUUUAGCGACCAUUUUUCCAAGUUCCUGACAUCUAAGUAAAGAUUUUUCAUGCAUAAGACAAACUAUGACAAGCUAAAGUAAUUAGUCCAACAAAAUGACAGUACACGCAAUAAUAAUAUAAAUGAAUUUUGUUUGUCUGUCCGUCCAAAUAUAAAAUCGUGCAUCUCACCUGUGGCAUGCAUAGACAAUAGCACAGUUGGCUAGCUUGCUCGUGCUCCAUCCUGUAGUCGCAGGUUCCAAAGCUCCACGCUACAGCAGUCAUUUAUUUUCAGCCACCCACUGACAGAUGGGCCCGCUCGGAGAGAGAGAGAGAGAGUUGCUCUUGCUAUACACGAUAAAUACAGGGCGACGAAGCUCAGGACUGCUCUCCAAGUUCGAGGACUGUAUACAUCUGGUAUUUUCAAGUACGAGAAUCGCACUGAAGCACUUUCUGAGUAUGAGGACCAUUUUGGACCUAACCAGCAAGUAUAAGGAUGAUAGGUGCAAUUAUCUCUGACCGAAAAUACAAUGGGUCUCGGGUCCCAUUGCACGUAAAUUGAAAAAAAGUGUUUAACCCUAAAAAAAGUUUUAAAAAUUCAAAAAGAGUCAAAAUUUUCUUUCUUUCUUGAAUUCAAACAUGAUCAAGUAGUACACUCGUGUAAAAAGUUUCGUGAAGGAAUAGAUGCAACCGACCCCGCAAAAAGGAUGCAGAUGCAACCGACCCUUAAAAAAAGAUGCAACCGACCCCAAGGUCAAUUUUUUUUGAGAUUACAAGAAAUGUGAACUGUAACCUUUACAUAGUGUCGAUUUUGUUUUUUCCGCCUAAAAUACCACGCGAGUCAUUCCUCCGCGUAACUUUUCACACGAGUAUUACGCUAGACCAUGUUUAUUACAAAAAUGUUUUAGAAAUGUUCAAAUUUUUUAUUUUUCUAAAAUAAGUUUUUCAUUUCAUGUGCAUUGCCAUCCAUGUUCUAAAGAUCCGCGUCAAAUCAGAAGAACCCUCAAAUAUGUUGGGAUUACCUACUGCUAGUUGAGGAAGAGUAGCACCAACAUAAGAAGGUGGGUUGUUCUACUACUCAUUCUAGAAUGAGAGAAGAGAGAAACAACACGCGCUCACUCACUCAAUCACACCACACGCCACACCACACAAUGUGCACGUCGCAUUUGGUGAAUCGUGUUUGAGUUCGGGCUAAUGUUAUGUGCCUUGUUGGGAGAACUUCUUUUGCUUGGCAGUGCACUACAUAGCUCUAAGUGUACAUGCCAAUAUUCAAGUUCGUUGUGGACACAUUUUAUACUUUCAGAAAGUUCUUUCACCAUGUGUUAGUUGCAUCUAUUCAGCUUCACAUUUGUCCUCUCUAUAUAGAUAAGAUAGACAUGAGAGAGGCCGCACACAGAACACGCAUGCAUGCUCACACACACACAUACACACAUGCUGAGUUCCUGGUGUUGAAAUGCCUCUCCGGCAACCCCAUCCCGGUAUUUGCGUGCACAAUCUUCCAGAAGAGCAGGCCUUUGAAACCGCGUCCCUUGAGAACAUGUACCAGGUAAGAGACGAUAAGAUUUUUGGGGAACGUCUCAAGGCGACUCCUCACUCAAGUUCGACUAGAUACUCUACAUCGGUCCGCCUACUUCCUUCAUGCCAGUGACUCUUCGUCUGCACCACCAUGGCUGAUGAAGUUGUUGCAUCAGAUUUUAUGGAGCCCUCAUAUGCCAUGAACAUUUCUUUUGGUGACAUGCACCUUUGAUCUAUAUGUGUAUGUGUGCUUGAUAUUUCUUAGUCUAUUGUAUACGAUUUGCCAUGUCAAUAACCUUGUGACGAUGCUAAUCUAAAUUAGGCUUACCAAAUACUGUCUCAUCUCCUAACACAAUACGUCUUCCAAGGUGGCCACACCCGCACAUUGUUGUCUUACAUGACCAAUGGCAAAGGGCCUUCUCCUUGAACCAAACAUAUUUCCCUCUUUUAGAGACGAGUAGCUCCAGAAGAUUUACAAAUUUAAAAACAUGCCUCCUCAAUCAUAUCAAGUACCAUAUUAUUAUUAUUUUGCAUAUUAUAAUUAGUGUUCACUAUUAUGGCUAAUAAGAAUAGUCUCAAUGCCAUAUACAAUAAGAAUUCACACUCAAGAAUGGCAUCUACCAUCUCGUCAGCAUCGGAGGCAUGAAAAAGAUGGCACAUGAGCACGAGGAGGAAAGGGAAGCUACACGAAGGGGCUCUCUCUGGGUCAGAGGAGCCGUGGGAGGCGGUGCCGACGACCAUAGGACCUCCUCGCCGACUAACCUAGCCAUGACUAGGGCCCUGUUUGUUUGGGCUUUUGCUUUUGCUUUUGCAGCUUUUCCAUUUUGACCAAAACGCCAUAAAAGCUCCUAAACAGGGCCUAGGGUUCACCACGGGGCAUGUUUGGAGGCAGAAGUCAACAUGAUGGCAUGGAGUCGUAGUGGUGGGUCCCAUUCGAUAGUUGGCGGUGCUCAUUAAUAGUUUGAAAGUGCAUCCCGAGAUACCCUAUUGGUUUCGGUGAUUUAUGACAAAACCAUUAUAGAGGACUAAUGAUUUCAAUAAGCUUGUUUUAGAGACUAUGAUUAAUUUUCUUAUGCCGCCCCCAGGCUAUAGUUGGAACAUCAAUGAUAAUGGACGUGGAGUAUUUGCACCCGAGUUCAAAUGCUCCUGGCACUAGUGGAAAAAAGCCUACCUAUGGCGUGGCAAAAAGUGCCUUACUAGCGUAGAGGCCCAACGCCAUCAAUAUGGCGCCAGUGAAAACAGUUUAGUGGUGGCGUUGGCAGACACGUCAGCGGUAAUUCUAGUACUGAUGGCGUGCCACCUGGCUAACGCUAGCAAUAUAUUGUGUUAUCUAUGGUGUUUAUUGUGAGGCAAUGCUAGCAAUUUGUAUUUUUGAGCAAUAAAAAAUAUACCCAGCGAUUAUGUCCAGCCAUUUAAACUUCUAGUGGUAAGUCUCAAAUCCACAAAAUAUACCCAGCUAUUACUACAGUUUUCAGUAACUAGCUUGCUACUACGUACAAGCAAAAGUUAUCCGAUGGCUACCUUUAUACAAGAAAAAGGUAUCGCCAUCGAUCUCACGCAACUUGUUAUCCGCGCGCUAACUAUUUACGAUGAAGAAUGAUCCUCAUCUCACGCAACUUGUUCCUGCUGCUCUCUCCCUCCCGUCUGAAAUAGACUUUGCGGGUCUUCAGCUCCACCCUCUCGGCCUCCAGGAGCCGUAUCUCCUUCUUCAUAGACUCGAUCUCGGUGACUAGUAGCUGCUUCUAGUCGAUGAGCUUCAAUUUCUUAUCACAGAGAUCGGAGAUCUCAUCGAUCAUAUCGCCCUUCUCUUUCUUCGGGGAGUCAAUCAACUCGUUAAGUGCCUUCAUUGUACUCUCCUUUGACGCGACAAGCUCACUGCUGAGCAUGUCCAUGUCACGUACCGGUAGCUGCUGCUAGACCGGUUCUAGAGAUGAGUCUCGUGCAUACGCCUAGCAAGUAAAAUAUUUGAAAUCAUCAAUAAAGAAUGGUUAGAUGAUAUAUGUAUAUAUGCAUGUGUUUGCAAUGCUAUGGAUUUUUUUAUAAAUCUUACCUGGUUGGUGCUCGUUUCGCCUUUGUCAACUUCAUCAUAGGCCGCGAAGUUGCACGAUGACUGGUAGUGACUGUUCCAGCUACUCAUGGCUGGAACUUCAAAAUAAUGACAAAUAUAGGUUAUUAUGACAAGAACCAAACACACAUGUCCUUAGUUCUGACAAGAACCAAAUACACAUGUCAAACAAGAUUAACAAGUAAGUUACAAGCAAGUUGCAUCCAAUUUGAUUUGUAAGUUGAUAAUAUAUAUUGCCUUGUUGAUCAAACAAGAAUAACAAGUAAGUUGAUAAUAAUGCCAAUCAAAGUAUGGCAAGUAUGGCAUGUGAUCUAAUGCCAAUCAUAACAAUAAUAACAAGUAAGUUGAUAAUAAUGCCAAUUAAAGUAUGGCAAGUGAUCUAAUACACUUACACAAAUUCUACAACCUAACUGAUCUAUAUAGAGGUAUGUCAACUUGUCAAGUAAACAAAGGAAAUUAUGUUAUUUUAUGGGAGUAAACAAUGAAACCCUGAUCUAAACAUCCACAUGAUGAUCAUUGAUGCAAAAUGCAGAUACAAAAUGCCACUGCCACUGUCACUGUCAUAUGUUCAUUCAUGUUACCAUACAACUAAAAUGCCUCGAUAAUGAUACCACCUGCUAUCUUCAUUUAUCCUUAGUUCUGUUUCAUAGAACUAAAAAUGCAUACAAGAUGUCCAUGGAUGCUACUUAUCACUUCCAUUUAGAGGCUUCCAUGUUGCUUCAUAUCUUCAGACUUACUUAGCACUUCCAUUUAGAGGCAUAGUGUUCAUUUUAUGAAUCUUGCAUGAUAGUAUUGGACUGGGGAUUGUUUACUAUACAAUAAUAAAUGUACAGAGCUUCAGUCAAAGCAUCGACCACUCAGUUUGAUGCGGAUGAAUUUGUAUCGCAGCUUCUGUUGAAGAUACAACAAGAAUUUUGAUUUGGCGAAGAUGGAGGCGAUGAACUCACCAAGGGACGAAGAUGGAGGCGAUAAACCGUCAUCUCUUCCAUCGCCGCCGUCUCUUCUGCCGCCGCUGCCAUCGUCGAAGAACCCCUAGCUCAAGAUGAAAUGAACUCCAAUCAAAUUGGAGGGCAACGAGCGACGGGAAAGGGAGAGGGGGGGNNNNNNNNNNNNNNNNNNNNNNNNNNNNNNNNNNNNNNNNNNNNNNNNNNNNNNNNNNNNNNNNNNNNNNNNNNNNNNNNNNNNNNNNNNNNNNNNNNNNNNNNNNNNNNNNNNNNNNNNNNNNNNNNNNNNNNNNNNNNNNNNNNNNNNNNNNNNNNNNNNNNNNNNNNNNNNNNNNNNNNNNNNNNNNNNNNNNNNNNNNNNNNNNNNNNNNNNNNNNNNNNNNNNNNNNNNNNNNNNNNNNNNNNNNNNNNNNNNNNNNNNNNNNNNNNNNNNNNNNNNNNNNNNNNNNNNNNNNNNNNNNNNNNNNNNNNNNNNNNNNNNNNNNNNNNNNNNNNNNNNNNNNNNNNNNNNNNNNNNNNNNNNNNCACCACAUAAAAAACUAAAAAUUAAAAAAAUGUAAGUGUCAAACCACAUGUACACAUAUUUGAAGGCUCAAAACUAUAUAUUUCAAGUCUUAAACUAAAAAGGAAAAAAGUAAAUUUAAAGUCUCAAAGUACAUAUUUUAAAAAUGUCAUUAUUUCCAUUUAAAAAUAAUUUUUUUAAUAAAAGUUAACUAUAAUAUACAAAAAAGAUCACCACAUAAAAAACUAAAAAGAAAAAAAUGUAAGUAUCAAACCACAUAUUUGAAGGUAACUAUAAAUUUCAAGUCUUAAACUAAAAAGGAAAAAAAAGUAAAUUUAAAGUCUCAAAGUACAUAUUUAAAAAAUGUCAUUAUUUCUAUUUAAAAUAAAAUAUAAGAAUGUUUUGGCAUUGAAAAAAAUAACAAUACUGGCGUUGGAAACAACAACACGACAUAACUAUAUAUAAUAGUACUAGCGUUACGUGCUAUUCCACGACGACACUGUAUUACGUCUAGUACAAAUUGUUGAUCCCAUAAACUUCUGACGCUGUCCUGUCUUCCAAUGCCACAACUAUGCCCCUACUAAUGUCAUACCAAAUAAGCCAACGUCACAACUAUUUAAAAUAAAUAGUGCUGGUGUUGGUUGUAAAUGGCGUGCCACCAACGAAAGUUGUGGCUAACACUUUUUCCACUAGUGCGGUGAACAGUAAAAUCGAGGAUAAAACAAAUUCAAAAGUUCCUGUUUUUUUGGUAACCUUUGACAAAUUUUCUAUGUGCUUGCAAAAAUUUACCAUGAAUGAAAAUUUCUGUAAGUCAUGGCAAGAAAAACUAAAUCGAUACUUAAAAAAUGCUAUCUUUUUAAGCAUUUUAGAGUGCUGGUUUUUGUUUUGGCCAUGACUUCCACGAAUGUCAUUUCGUGAUGAACAUUUUCAAGCAUAGAAAACUUUUGUCAAAGGUUACAAAAAAAAUAGAAUCUUUUGAUUUUUUUUAAUUUUCUUUUAAGUUUACUAUUCACCCGAGCUUAUUUGAGCUCGGGAGCAGAAGAACACUUUUAGUGUUUUCUUUUUAGGGGUAACACUUUUAGUGUUACUGUUACAGUUUUCGUUCAAACAUGUUACAGCUACUACAUUGCCACCUCAAAAGAAGUUAAUAGUUCCUAGUUAGUAGCCACACACAUGGAGCGACUCACGCAGCUCCAACCAAUUAAAGUUUCGUGAAUCUUCCAUCGCUAUUCAUUUGGCCUCGCUCGACGUCACGCGGCUCUCGUGACCACUUAUGUCCCCGAUGGAUGUCGCCGGCCACACGCCCCUCGACGACGACGAGAUGAGCAGCGUGUGAUCCUCGUCGCCCCGCCCAUCCAAGCGAAGAUAAGAGGCCCACUCCCUUCCCUCCACAUGGCACCCACCCCGAAUCCCUUACUUAUUCCCGCCCCCCUCACUCCUCCAUCCCCUAGCUCGCUCGCCUAUCCUCUCCAGCUCCCCAGCCACACAGAGAAAGAGCGUCUAAGCUCCAGCUAGCUUGCAAUGGCCGCCGCACUGAGCCUCCGCGCGCCCUUCUCCCUGCGCGCCGUCGCGCCACCGGCGCCCCGCGUGGCCCUCGCGCCCGCGGCCCUCAGCCUCGCCGCCGCCAAGCAGGUGCGGGGAGCCAGGCUCCGCGCGCAGGCGACGUACAAGGUGAAGCUGGUGACGCCCGAGGGCGAGGUGGAGCUGGAGGUCCCCGACGACGUCUACAUCCUCGACCAGGCCGAGGAGGAGGGGAUCGACCUGCCCUACUCUUGCCGCGCCGGCUCCUGCUCCUCCUGCGCCGGCAAGUUGGUGUCCGGCGAGAUCGACCAGUCCGACCAGAGCUUCCUCGACGACGACCAGAUGGAGGCAGGGUGGGUGCUCACCUGCCACGCCUACCCCAAGUCCGACAUCGUCAUCGAGACCCACAAGGAGGAGGAGCUCACCGCAUAAGCUGCCAUACCUAUCUCUCUUUGCAAGAGGAUCGAGCUGAUAUCAUAUUAUCUCCUACAGUAUCAUGCAUGCAUGGACAUCGCCAGAUCGAUACACCGAUUGUUUUGUGCUCGAAUGAAUUGCUCGAUGCAUGGUUUGCUCAAGUAAUAUUGUCUUCGAAUUACUACCUUUUUGUACCGUAAGAUAUACGUACUACUGUCGUAAUACUAGCGUGUACCUUGUACGUAACUCGACGUACUGAAAUGAAUCCUGAUGGCUGAGGCGUCUCUCUGAUUAAUAGUAAUAUCUUCUUUUUAAUUGAGAGACGGCUGAAUUACUUGAUGAACAUCUUACCUGGGACUUUCUUCUAUCCACAUAAUAGGUGCAUGCUACGACUUGUUUCAAUAUGAGUUGCACAAUU
rnacentral:lncRNA from 1 species